rnacentral:rRNA from 1 species
AAUAUUAAAUAGCCGCGGUAUCUUGACCGUGCAAAGGUAGCAUAAUCAUUAGUUUUUUAAUUGAAAACUUGUAUGAAUGGUCUAACAAGGAAGAAACUGUCUCUGUUAUUAGAGUUGAAAUUAACUUUUAGGUGAAAAGGCUUAAAUUUUUCAAAGGGACGAUAAGACCCUAUAAAGCUUUAUAAGUUAAAAGAUUUUAUUACGUUUUUUAAUAGUAAUAGUUUUUUGAAGACUUAUUUGGUUGGGGCGACAUUAGUAUAAUAAGAAUAACUGCUUCUAGGAAAUACAAGUGUGUUUGUGUAUAGAUUCGGUAGUUGAUCCUUUAUAAAGAUUUAAAGAUCAAGUUACUUUAGGGAUAACAGCGUUAUUUUUUCUGAGAGUUCUUAUCAAAGGAAAAGUUUGCGACCUCGAUGUUGAAUUAAAAUGUCUAUAUAGUGCAGCAGCUAUAAAAGAAGGUCUGUUCGACCUUUAAUAUUUUACAUGAUUUGAGUUCAGACCGGCGGGAGCCAGGUCGGUUUCUAUCUUUUGAAGAAUAGUAACUCAUCCUAGUACGAAAGGAUUGGAUGGGUAAAAGUUUUUUAGGUGAUGGUAU